UAAAACCCUGUUGUUAGAGAAGAAAGUGCGUGAGAGUAACUGUUCACGUUUCGACGGUAUCUAACCAGAAAGCCACGGCUAACUACGUGCCAGCAGCCGCGGUAAUACGUAGGUGGCAAGCGUUAUCCGGAUUUAUUGGGCGUAAAGGGAACGCAGGCGGUCUUUUAAGUCUGAUGUGAAAGCCUUCGGCUUAACCGGAGUAGUGCAUUGGAAACUGGGAGACUUGAGUGCAGAAGAGGAGAGUGGAACUCCAUGUGUAGCGGUGAAAUGCGUAGAUAUAUGGAAGAACACCAGUGGCGAAAGCGGCUCUCUGGUCUGUAACUGACGCUGAGGUUCGAAAGCGUGGGUAGCAAACAGGAUUAGAUACCCUGGUAGUCCACGCCGUAAACGAUGAAUGCUAAGUGUUGGAGGGUUUCCGCCCUUCA
rnacentral:rRNA from 1 species